rnacentral:rRNA from 1 species
CUACGGGCGGCAGCAGUGGGGAAUAUCGGGCAAUGGGCGCAAGCCUGACCCAGCAACGCCGCGUGAGGGAAGAAGGUUUUCGGAUUGUAAACCUCUGUCCUUGGGGACGAAGAAGUGACGGUACCCAAGGAGGAAGCUCCGGCUAACUACGUGCCGAGCAGCCGCGGUAAUACGUAGGGAGCAAGCGUUGUCCGGAAUUACUGGGCGUAAAGGGUGCGUAGGCGGCAUAUUAAGUCAGGUGUGAAAUACUCGGGCUCAACCCGGGGGCUGCAUUUGAAACUGAUAUGCUUGAGUGUGAGAGAGGAAAGUGGAAUUCCUAGUGUAGCGGUGGAAUGCGUAGAUAUUAGGAGGAACACCAGUGGCGAAGGCGACUUUCUGGCUCAUAACUGACGCUGAGGCACGAAAGCGUGGGGAGCAAACAGGAUUAGAUACCCUGGUAGUC